rnacentral:tRNA from 1 species
GGGGUUGUGGCUCAGUGGUAGAGUGCUUUCCCAGCAUGUAUGAGACACUGGGUUUGAUUCUCAGCACCACA